rnacentral:rRNA from 1 species
UACGUAGGGGGCUAGCGUUGUCCGGAAUCAUUGGGCGUAAAGCGCGUGUAGGCGGUCCGGUAAGUCCGCUGUGAAAGUCGAGGGCUCAACCCUCGAAUGCCGGUGGAUACUGUCGGGCUUGAGUACGGGAGAGGCGAGUGGAAUUCCUGGUGUAGCGGUGAAAUGCGCAGAUAUCAGGAGGAACACCGAUUGCGAAGGCAGCUCGCUGGUACGUUACUGACGCUGAGACGCGAAAGCGUGGGGAGCAAACAGG